rnacentral:rRNA from 1 species
GUUUGUGGGUUUCAAUUCCCUAAAGGCACCAGAUCCCAUCUGAUCUUGGAAGGUCAGUGAGGUCAGUCCAGGUUGGUGCUUAGACCGGAGACUGCCUAUGAAUACCAGAUGCUGUAGGCU